AACGCGAAGAACCUUACCUAGGCUUGACAUGCACGGAUUAACCUUUCGAAAGAUUGGCCACGCCCUUUGGGUGGAACGUGCACAGGUGCUGCAUGGCUGUCGUCAGCUCGUGCUGUGAAGUGUCGGGUUAAGUCCCUUAACGAGCGCAACCCCUAUCGUUAGUUACUAACGCGUCAUGGCGAGGACUCUAACGAGACUGCCGGUGUCAAACCGGAGGAAGGCGGGGAUGACGUCAAGUCCUCAUGGCCCUUACGCCUAGGGCUGCAAACGUGCUACAAUGGCACGGACAGAGCGACGCGAGGCCGCAAGGCGGAGCAAAUCGCAAAAACCGUGCCCCAGUUCGGAUUUGUAGGCUGAAAUUCGCCUGCAUGAAGCCGGAGUCGCUAGUAAUCGGAGAUCAGCUACGCUCCGGUGAAUACGUUCCCGGGCCUUGUACACACCGAUCGAAUUCCC
rnacentral:rRNA from 1 species